rnacentral:rRNA from 1 species
UACGUAGGGGGCAAGCGUUGUCCGGAAUUACUGGGCGUAAAGCGUCUGUAGGCGGGUAGGUACGUCGGACGUGAAAGGCGGGGGCUCAACCCCCGAGCGGCGUUCGAAACGGACUUUCUUGAGGGUCGAAGAGGAGCGUGGAAUUCCCGGUGUAGCGGUGAAAUGCGUAGAGAUCGGGAGGAACACCCAUGGCGAAGGCAGCGCUCUGGUCGGCAACUGACGCUGAGAGGCGAAAGCGUGGGGAGCGAACAGG